CCGGACCCCACUGCUAUCGGGGUGGGACUUAGGCAUGCAAGUUUGUGUCUUCAAGUUCCGGUGAAGACACGGCGGACCGCUCAGUAACACGUAGUUAACCUGCCCUCGGGAUGGAGAUAACCCCGGGAAACUGGGGGUAAUAUCUAAUAAGUGAGAAGGCCUGGAAUGGUUUCUCACAUAAAUGAUCUGGAACCAUACAUCCAGCACCGCCCGAGGAUGGGACUGCGGCCGAUCAGGUAGUUGGUGAGGUAAUGGCCCACCAAGCCUAUAACCGGUACGGGCCGUGAGAGCGGAAGCCCGGAGAUGGGCACUGAGAUAAGGGCCCAGGCCCUACGGGGCGCAGCAGCUACGAAACCUCCGCAAUGCGCGCAAGCGUGACGGGGCUACCCCGAGUGCCAUCCGCUGAGGGUGGCUUUUCUUUGGUGUAAUGAGCCGAAGGAAUAAGAGGAGGGCAAGCCUGGUGUCAGCCGCCGCGGUAAUACCAGCUCCUCAAGUGGUGGGGAUGUUUAUUUGGCCUAAAGCGUCCGUAGCCUGCUCGGUAAGUCCUCCGUUAAAUCCACCGAUCUAAUCGUUGGGCUGCGGGGGAUACUGCAGAGCUUGGGGGCGGAAGAAGUCGACGGUACUCUUGGGGUAGGGGUGAAAUCCAGUAAUCCCAAGAGGACCACCAGUGGCGAAGGCGGUCGACUAGGACGCGCCCGACGGUGAGGGACGAAAGCUGGGGGAGCGAUUCGGAUUAGAUACCCGAGUAGUCCCAGCUGUAAACGAUGCAGGCUAGGUGUUAGCACGACUACGAGUCAUGCUAGUGCCGCAAGGAAGCCGUUAAGCCUGCCGCCUGGGAAGUACGGUCGCAAGACUGAAACUUAAAGGAAUUGGCGGGGGAGCACCACAAGGGGUGAAGCUUGCGGUUCAAUUGGAGUCAACGCCGGAAACCUUACCGGGGGGAGACAGCAGAGUGGAGGCCAGAUUGAAGGUCUUGCUAGACAAGCUGAGAGGAGGCGCAUGGCCGUCGCCAGUUCGUGCCGUGAGGUGUCCUGUUAAGUCAGGCAACGAUCGAGACCCACGCUCCUUGUUGCCAGUGGCACUCCAAACGGAGGCCAGGCACACUAGGAGGACCGCCGCCGAUAAGGCGGAGGAAGGAGUGGGCCACGGCAGGUCAGUAUGCCCCGAAUUCCCCGGGCUACACGCGAGCUGCACGGUAGGGACAGUGGGUUCCACCUC
rnacentral:rRNA from 1 species